AAGGGGGCUAGCGGAUGGAAGUGCUAGUCUAAGGUCGUAGGAGGUUAUACAGGCAAAUCCGUAUAACAAUACUCCGAGAACUGAAAGGCUUUUUGAAGUCUUCGGAUGGAUAGAAGAACCCCUGAUGCCGUCGAGCCAAGAAAAGUUUCUAAGUUUAGCUAAUGUUGCCCGUACCGUAAACCGACACAGGUGGGUGGGAUGAGUAUUCUAAGGCGCGUGGAAGAACUCUCUUUAAGGAACUCUGCAAAAUAGCACCGUAUCUUCGGUAUAAGGUGUGGUUAGCUUUGUAUUAGGAUUUACUCCGAAAGCAAGGAAACUUACAACAAAGAGUCCCUCCCGACUGUUUACCAAAAACACAGCACUCUGCUAACUCGUAAGAGGAUGUAUAGGGUGUGACGCCUGCCCGGUGCUCGAAGGUUAAUUGAUGGGGUUAGCAUUAGCGAAGCUCUUGAUCGAAGCCCGAGUAAACGGCGGCCGUAACUAUAACGGUCCUAAGGUAGCGAAAUUCCUUGUCGGUUAAAUACCGACCUGCAUGAAUGGCGUAACGAGAUGGGAGCUGUCUCAAAGAGGGAUCCAGUGAAAUUGUAGUGGAGGUGAAAAUUCCUCCUACCCGCGGCAAGACGGAAAGACCCCGUGGACCUUUACUACAGCUUGACACUGCUACUUGGAUAAGAAUGUGCAGGAUAGGUGGGAGGCUUUGAGUAUAUGACGCCAGUUGUAUAUGAGCCAUUGUUGAGAUACCACUCUUUCUUAUUUGGGUAGCUAACCAGCUUGAGUUAUCCUCAAGUGGGACAAUGUCUGGUGGGUAGUUUGACUGGGGCGGUCGCCUCCCAAAUAAUAACGGAGGCUUACAAAGGUUGGCUCAGAACGGUUGGAAAUCGUUCGUAGAGUAUAAAGGUAUAAGCCAGCUUAACUGCAAGACAUACAAGUCAAGCAGAGACGAAAGUCGGUCUUAGUGAUCCGGUGGUUCUGUGUGGAAGGGCCAUCGCUCAAAGGAUAAAAGGUACCCCGGGGAUAACAGGCUGAUCUCCCCCAAGAGCUCACAUCGACGGGGAGGUUUGGCACCUCGAUGUCGGCUCAUCGCAUCCUGGGGCUGGAGCAGGUCCCAAGGGUAUGGCUGUUCGCCAUUUAAAGCGGUACGCGAGCUGGGUUCAGAACGUCGUGAGACAGUUCGGUCCCUAUCUGCCGUGGGCGUAAGAAGAUUGAAGAGAUUUGACCCUAGUACGAGAGGACCGGGUUGAACAAACCACUGGUGUAGCUGUUGUUCUGCCAAGAGCAUCGCAGCGUAGCUAAGUUUGGAAAGGAUAAACGCUGAAAGCAUCUAAGCGUGAAGCCAACUCUAAGAUGAAUCUUCUCUAAGCUCUCUAGAAGACUACUAGUUUGAUAGGCUGGGUGUGUAAUGGAUGAAAGUCCUUUAGCUGACCAGUACUAAUAGAGCGUUUGGCUUAUCUUU
rnacentral:rRNA from 1 species